rnacentral:rRNA from 1 species
UACGUAGGUGGCAAGCGUUGUCCGGAAUUACUGGGCGUAAAGGAUGCGUAGGCGGCCUCUUAAGUGGGAUGUGAAAUCCCGGGGCUUAACCCCGGAGCUGCAUUCCAUACUGGGAGGCUAGAGUGCAGGAGAGGAAAGCGGAAUUCCCAGUGUAGCGGUGAAAUGCGUAGAGAUUGGGAGGAACACCAGUGGCGAAGGCGGCUUUCUGGACUGUAACUGACGCUGAGGCAUGAAAGUGUGGGGAGCAAACAGG